GGUUGACCUCGAAUCAGGUAGGACUACCCGCUGAACUUAAGCAUAUCAUA
rnacentral:rRNA from 1 species